UGGGGAAUUUUGGACAAUGGGGGCAACCCUGAUCCAGCCAUGCCGCGUGUGUGAAGAAGGCCUUCGGGUUGUAAAGCACUUUCGGACGGAACGAAAUCGCGCGGGCGAAUAUCCCGCGUGGAUGACGGUACCGUAAGAAGAAGCACCGGCUAACUACGUGCCAGCAGCCGCGGUAAUACGUAGGGUGCGAGCGUUAAUCGGAAUUACUGGGCGUAAAGUGUGCGCAGGCGGCGCCGCAAGUCGAGUGUGAAAGCCCCGGGCUUAACUUGGGAAUUGCGCUCGAAACUAUGGUGCUGGAGUGUGGCAGAGGAAGGUGGAAUUCCACGUGUAGCGGUGAAAUGCGUAGAGAUGUGGAGGAACACCGAUGGCGAAGGCAGCCUUCUGGGCCAACACUGACGCUCAUGCACGAAAGCGUGGGGAGCAAACAG
rnacentral:rRNA from 1 species